AUUGAACGCUGGCGGCAGGCCUAACACAUGCAAGUCGAGCGGAUGACGGGAGCUUGCUCCUUGAUUCAGCGGCGGACGGGUGAGUAAUGCCUAGGAAUCUGCCUGGUAGUGGGGGACAACGUUUCGAAAGGAACGCUAAUACCGCAUACGUCCUACGGGAGAAACCAGGGGACCUUCGGGCCUUCCGCUAUCAGAUGAGCCUAGGUCGGAUUAGCUAUUUGGUGAGGUAACGGCUCACCAAGGCGACGAUCCGUAACUGGUCUGAGAGGAUGAUCAGUCACACUGGAACUGAGACACGGUCCAGACUCCUACGGGAGGCAGCAGUGGGGAAUAUUGGACAAUGGGCGAAAGCCUGAUCCAGCCAUGCCGCGUGUGUGAAGAAGGUCUUCGGAUUGUAAAGCACUUUAAGUUGGGAGGAAGGGCAGUAAGCUAAUACCUUGCUGUUUUGACGUUACCGACAGAAUAAGCACCGGCUAACUCUGUGCCAGCCGCCGCAGUAAUAC
rnacentral:rRNA from 1 species